AGCGAACGCUGGCGGCAGGCCUAACACAUGCAAGUCGAACGGAUCCUUCGGAAUUAGUGGCGGACGGGUGAGUAACACGUGGGAACGUGCCCUUUGGUUCGGAACAACUCAGGGAAACUUGAGCUAAUACCGGAUUUGCCCUUCGGGGGAAAGAUUUAUCGCCAUUGGAGCGGCCCGCGUCUGAUUAGCUAGUUGGUGAGGUAAAGGCUCACCAAGGCGACGAUCAGUAGCUGGUCUGAGAGGAUGAUCAGCCACAUUGGGACUGAGACACGGCCCAAACUCCUACGGGGUGAAGCAGGGGGGAAUCUUGCGCAAUGGGCGAAAGCCUGUCGCAGCCAUGCCGCGUGAAUGAUGAAGGUCUUAGGAUUGGAAAAUUCUUUCACCGGGGACGAUAAUGACGGUACCCGGAGAAGAAGCCCCGGCUAACUUCGUGCCAGCCGCCGCCGUAACAC
rnacentral:rRNA from 1 species